rnacentral:sRNA from 1 species
UCUUAUUAAAUUCGGGGCAGCAGAA